GCCUUCGUGGUGUAGUGGUCAGCACACUGAGCCGGUAUUUCAGAGGUCCGCGGUUCGAUUCCCGGCGAAGGCC
rnacentral:tRNA from 1 species